UCAAAUUUGAAAUCUGGCGCCUUGUGCGCCCGAGUUGUAAUUUGUAGAGGAUGUUUCGGGUGCGGCACCGAUCUAAGUUCCUUGGAACAGGGCGUCAUAGAGGGUGAGAAUCCCGUAUGUGACCGGUCGCCUAUCCCAUGUGAAACUCCUUCGACGAGUCGAGUUGUUUGGGAAUGCAGCUCAAAAUGGGUGGUAUAUUUCAUCUAAAGCUAAAUAUUGGCCAGAGACCGAUAGCGCACAAGUAGAGUGAUCGAAAGAUGAAAAGCACUUUGGAAAGAGAGUUAAAAAGUACGUGAAAUUGUUGAAAGGGAAGCGCUUGCGACCAGACUCGCCCGGGGGUGAUCAACCGUCCUUUUGGGCGGUGCACUUUCCCUCGGGCGGGCCAGCAUCGGUUCGGGCGGCUGGAUAAAGGCUUCGGGAAUGUAGCUCCUCUCGGGGAGUGUUAUAGCCCGGGGUGCAAUGCAGCCAGUCUGGACCGAGGACCGCGCUUUUGCUAGGAUGCUGGCGUAAUGGUCGUCAGCGACCCGUCUUGAAACACGGACCAAGGAGUUAACCACCGGUGCGAGUGUUUGGGUGUCAAACCCGUACGCGUAAUGAAAGUGAACGGAGGUGAGAACCCCUUUCGGGGCGCAUCAUCGACCGAUCCUGAUGUCUUCGGAUGGAUUUGAGUAAGAGCACCGUUGGUUUGACCCGAAAGAUGGUGAUCUUUACGCGGAUAGGGUGAAGCCAGAGGAAACU
rnacentral:rRNA from 1 species